UACGUAGGUGGCAAGCGUUGUCCGGAAUUAUUGGGCGUAAAGCGCGCGCAGGCGGUCCUUUAAGUCUGAUGUGAAAGCCCACGGCUCAACCGUGGAGGGUCAUUGGAAACUGGGGGACUUGAGUGCAGAAGAGGAAAGUGGAAUUCCAAGUGUAGAGGUGAAAUUCGUAGAUAUUGGGUGGAACACCGGUGGCGAAAGCGGCUCUCUGGUCCGGACCUGACGCUGAGGCGCGAAAGCGUGGGGAGCAAACAGG
rnacentral:rRNA from 1 species